rfam:Heterocephalus glaber contig197399, whole genome shotgun sequence.
AGAUAUGCCAUGGUAAUCCUGCUCAGUAGGAGAGGAACUGCUAGUUCAGACAUUUGGUGUACGCACUUGGCUGAGGAGGCAAUGGGGCGAAGCUACCAUCUGUGGGAUUAUGACUGAAUGCCCCUAAAUCAGAAUCCCACACAGACGGAAUGAUAUGGCAGCGCCAAAGAAGUCUUGGAUAGCCUGUCUGCCCACCCCACCCGGUACCAGCAGGCCACCUGGAGCCCACGUGGGACAUCUCCUGUUGCGCUCUGGGACCAGGGUCUGGUGUGGAGAGCCCUUCGUCCUGAGAAACAGGGGUAUGGCCAGAAAGAGGGCCGCCCUCUCACCUGUCUUGUAAAGCACGCUUGUGGGGAACUGGCCGCUAAACCACUGUAAACUACCUGCUUCUGUGUUGGGGUAUCAUACAUAGUAGAGCAGCUCCCUCACUGUGAUCUAUUGAAAGUCAGCCCUUGACACAAGGAUUU